rnacentral:rRNA from 1 species
GUGGCUUUCUGAUUAGGUACCGUCAAGAUGUGCACAGUUACUUACACAUAUGUUCUUCCCUAAUAACAGAGUUUUACGAUCCGAAGACCUUCAUCACUCACGCGGCGUUGCUCCGUCAGGCUUUCGCCCAUUGCGGAAGAUUCCCUACUGCUGCCUCCCGUAGGAGUCUGGACCGUGUCUCAGUUCCAGUGUGGCCGAUCACCCUCUCAGGUCGGCUAUGCAUCGUUGCCUUGGUAAGCCGUUACCUUACCAACUAGCUAAUGCAGCGCGGAUCCAUCUAUAAGUGACAGCAAGACCGUCUUUCACUUUUGAACCAUGCGGUUCAAAAUAUUAUCCGGUAUUAGCUCCGGUUUCCCGAAGUUAUCCCAGUCUUAUAGGUAGGUUAUCCACGUGUUACUCACCCGUCCGCCGCUAACAUCAGAGAAGCAAGCUUCUCGUCCGUUCGCUCGACUUGCAUGUAUUAGGCACGCCGCCAGCGUUCAUCCUGAGCCAGGAUCAAACUCUA